UCAAAAUGGGUAACCCAACCCAACCCAACUCAUAAUCAAAUGAGUUUAUGAUUAAAUGAGUUAUGGGUUGACCCAACUCAUUUUGUUAAAUGAGUUGGGUCUAACCCAUAACUCAUUUCAUUUGAUGGGUUGAGUUGUUAAAUGGGUUAACCAUUUA